rnacentral:rRNA from 1 species
CGAUGGAUGCCCGUUGUUAGUUCACUUAUGAAUUAGCGACCAAGCGAAAGCAUUAAGCAUCCCACCUGGGGAGUACGCCGGCAACGGUGAAACUCAAAGGAAUUGACGGGGGCCCGCACAAGCGGAGGAACAUGUGGUUUAAUUCGAUGAUACGCGAGGAACCUUACCCGGGCUUGAAUUGCAGACGAACGAUUCAGAGAUGAUGAGGCCCUUCGGGGCGUCUGUGAAGGUGCUGCAUGGCUGUCGUCAG